UUGUCCUGUCUGGGCUCCUCCGUCGAACAGUGACGUUGUGCAGCUCUCAGACUGAGGACACAGAGAAACAUCUGCCCAAAAUAUGGGGACCAGUCCAGAGACAUGGACUUGGUCCUAAAGGCAGAGCAGGACAAA